GAUGAACGCUGGCGGCGUGCCUAAUACAUGCAAGUCGAGCGAACGGACGAUAAGCUUGCGUCUCUGAUGUUAGCGGCUGACGGGUGAGUAACACGUGGAUAACCUACCUAUAUUUCGGGGAUAACUUCGGGAAACCGGAUCUAAUACCGGAUAAUAUUUUGAACCGCAUGGUUCAAAAGUUAUAGACGGUCUUGCUGUCACUUAUAGAUGAAUCCGCGCUGCAUUAGCUAGUUGGUAAGGUAACGGCUUACCAAGGCAACGAUGCAUAGCCGACCUGAGAGGGUGAUCGGCCACACUGGAACUGAGACACGGUCCAGACUCCUACGGGAGGCAGCAGUAGGGAAUCUUCCGCAAUGGGCGAAAGCCUGACGGAGCAACGCCGCGUGAGUGAUGAAGGCCUUCGGAUCGUAAAACUCUGUUAUUAGGGAAGAACAUAUGUGUAAGUAACUGUGCCCAUCUUGACGGUACCUAAUCAGAAAGCCACGGCUAACUACGUG
rnacentral:rRNA from 1 species